GAUGAACGCUGGCGGCGUGCUUAACACAUGCAAGUCGAACGAGAAGUGAAGACGGAAACCUUCGGGCGGAAGGCUUUAUUUCGAGUGGCGGACGGGUGAGUAACGCGUGGGUAACCUGCCUCAUACAGGGGGAUAACAGUUGGAAACGACUGUUAAUACCGAAUAAGACCACAGCACCGCAUGGUGCGGGGGUAAAAACUCCGGUGGUAUGAGAUGGACCCGCGUUCGAUUAGCCAGUUGGCGGGGUAACGGCCCACCAAAGCGACGAUCGAUAGCCGAUCUGAGAGAAUGACCGGCCACAUUGGGACUGAGACACGGCCCAAACUCCUACGGGAGGCAGCAGUGAGGAAUAUUGCACAAGGGGGGAAACCCUGAUGCAGCGACGCCGCGUGAGUGAAAAAGUAUUUCGGUAUGUAAAGCUCUAUCAGCAGGGAAGAAAAUGACGGUACCUGAGUAAGAGGCCCCGGCUAGCUACGUG
rnacentral:rRNA from 1 species